GUAUUGUAAUUCUUUAAUUUUAAUUUAUAGAUAUUUGCUUUAAUUUGUUGUUCAACCUUUAAAUUAAUUUGUCUUUGUAUAGCAUUUAAAUGGGUUCUUAAUUCUACAGAUGGAUUCUGUUUGUUUAAAUUUGAUAAAUGAUAAAAUUCAAUAUACAAAUCGGCUAGAGGCUUGCCACUCUUUCGUCUCAUUAUAUGUUCUAAUUUAAUUAUAUACCCUCGCAUAACAGAUUUAUGUGUACACCAUUUAUUAGCUGGAGAUGUAUCAGUGGAGUUAUUU